rnacentral:rRNA from 1 species
UACAGAGACUGCGAGCGUUAUUCGGAUUCACUGGGCGUAAAGGGUGCGCAGGCGGCCAAGUGUGUGAGGCGUGAAAAGCCUGGAGCUUAACUCCAGAAUUGCACCUCAAACUACUUGGCUAGAGCAUUGGAGAGGGUAGCGGAAUUCACGGUGUAGCAGUGAAAUGCGUAGAUAUCGUGAGGGAACACCAGAGGCGAAGGCGGCUACCUGGACAAUUGCUGACGCUCAGGCACGAAAGCGUGGGGAGCAAAAGGG